GAGUUUGAUCGUGGCUCAGGACGAACGCUGGCGGCAUGCCUAACACAUGCAAGUCGAACGAGAUCUUCGGAUCUAGUGGCGCACGGGUGCGUAACGCGUGGGAAUCUGCCCUUGGGUACGGAAUAACUCACCGAAAGGUGUGCUAAUACCGUAUGAUGACGUAAGUCCAAAGAUUUAUCGCCUGAGGAUGAGCCCGCGUAGGAUUAGCUAGUUGGUGAGGUAAAGGCUCACCAAGGCGACGAUCCUUAGCUGGUCUGAGAGGAUGAUCAGCCACACUGGGACUGAGACACGGCCCAGACUCCUACGGGGGGCAGCAGUGGGGAAUAUUGGACGAAUGGGCGGAAAGACCUGAUCCAGCAAUGCCGCGUGAGUGAUGAAGGCCUUAGGGUUGUAAAGCUCUUUUACCCGGGAAGAUAAUGACUGUACCGGGAGAAUAAGCCCCGGCUAACUCCGUGCCAGCCGCCGCCGUAAC
rnacentral:rRNA from 1 species